AGUGAACGCUGGCGGUAGGCCUAACACAUGCAAGUCGAACGGCAGCACAGUAAGAGCUUGCUCUUACGGGUGGCGAGUGGCGGACGGGUGAGGAAUACAUCGGAAUCUACUUUUUCGUGGGGGAUAACGUAGGGAAACUUACGCUAAUACCGCAUACGACCUACGGGUGAAAGCAGGGGAUCUUCGGACCUUGCGCGAUUGAAUGAGCCGAUGUCGGAUUAGCUAGUUGGCGGGGUAAAGGCCAACCAAGGCGACGAUCCGUAGCUGGUCUGAGAGGAUGAUCGGCCACACUGGAACUGAGACACGGUCCAGACGCCUACGGGAGGCAGCAGUGUGGAAUAUUGGACAAUGGGCGCAAGCCUGAUCCAGCCAUACCGCGUGGGUGAAGAAGGCCUUCGGGUUGUAAAGCCCUUUUGUUGGGAAAGAAAAGCAGCAGGUUAAUACCCCGCUGUUCUGACGGUACCCAAAGAAUAAGCACCGGCUAACUUCGUG
rnacentral:rRNA from 1 species